AGGAAGACAAAGUAUGUCGACUUGUAAAGUCACUUUAUGGGCUUAAACAAGCUCCUAAACAAUGGCACGAAAAAUUUGACAAUACAAUGAUGUCAAAUGGUUUCAAAAUAAAUGAAUGUGACAAAUGCAUAUACUACAAAACUACCAAAAAUGCGUAUGUUUUGCUAUGUCUAUAUGUAGAUGAUAUGCUCAUUAUUGGAAGCAAUAAAGACAUUAUCAAUCAAACAAAGAACAUGCUCAAAGGGACAUUUGAGAUGAAAGACUUGGGAUUAGUAGAUGUAAUUCUCGGGGUUAAAGUCACAAGAAAUUCAAACGGAAUUAUCUUAACCCAAUCUCAUUAUGCUCAAACAAUAUUAGAGAGAUUUAAAAAUUACUCUAAUAGUACGGCAAAAACUCCGUUAGAUCCCCAAAUGCACUUGACAAAGAAUUCAGGUGAAGCGGUUUCACAAAACGAGUAUGCACGUGUGAUCGGAAGUCUCAUGUACUUGACCAAUUGUACUAGACCAGAUCUGGCGCAUGCAGUAAACGUACUUAGUCGAUAUACAAGUAAUCCAGGUCAUACACACUGGAAAGCUAUAACGAGGGUACUCAAUUACUUGCGCUACACCAAAGAUUUUGGGCUUCACUAUGGUAAAGAACCAGCAGUUUUAGAAGGAUACAGUGAUGCUAACUGGAUAUCAGAUUCUAAAAACUCAAAAUCCACGAGUGGAUAUGUCUUUACACUAGGAGGAGCAGCAAUAUCAUGGAAAUCUACCAAACAAACAGUGUUAGCCAGAUCUACCAUGGAAUCUGAGUUCAUAGCCUUAGACAAAGCAGCAGAAGAAGCUGAAUGGCUUAGAAAUUUUUUGGAAGAUAUUCCUAUGUGGGAGAAACCUGUGCCAGCUAUACGCAUACAUUGUGAUAGUCAAUCAGCAAUAGCUCGGGCUCAGAAUAAUCUCUACAAUGGUAAAUCUCGUCACAUCAGAAGACGACAUAAAACCAUUAGACAACUUAUCUCAACUGGUGUAAUCACAAUAGACUACAUCAAAUCGGCUGACAACCUAGCGGAUCCAUUUACUAAAGGUUUGCCACGAGAUGUUGUUGCUAAAUCAUCAAAAGGAAUGGGUUUAAAGCCUAUAACGAAUGAGGAUGCUUGAUGGCAACCCUACCUAUCAUGACUGGAGAUCCCAAGACGUAGGUUCAAAGGGAAAACAAAAUCAAACAGAAUCUAACCAAAGCACUUGAGACAAAGUAGUCUAUUCCCAGCUCCUAAGAUGAUAAAAGUGCUAACAAAUGUGUGAAGGAUAAGCAUAAGCUUUUAAUGAUUCCAUAGCUUCUAAGCGGGGUAUUACUCAAUACUUUUCAUGGUCAAUCACCUAAUGAGUGUGAAAUGGGGCCGUUUCUAGGAGAAUGAAUGCAAGGCUAUAUUCUCUAAGUUCACUCAUGAAAACCAGGAAUAGUUCAGGGCCACAAUGAACACAAUAGAGAACUAAGUUCUACGAGAAAAUGAAGCUGCGUUAUGCCUGUUGUCUCGGUUUACAUAAAACACCGGUUGGUUCAAGACAUCAUGUUCACCUUCUGGUAAAGUAAACCCGACAGAUAUUAACUAUGAGUGGUUCAAGGCUUAAAAAUGCCACCAACUCAAACACAGUGAAUUUUUCGUAAACACUCUCGAUAAGUCUGUCUAGUCUAGUCAUGAUUAGAAUAAGUAUAGUUUUUUUUAGAGUCUGCAUUUAGUCUGCAUAUGUUUAGAGUCAUUUCUAUUCAUGUGGGGGAUUGUUGGACCUAAAUUACUAAAGCCCAAUUGGCUAAAAUAAUAAAAGGUAAGUGUGAAGAGAAAUGGGAAACAUCCCACAUCGGUGGGAACAAGAGAAAAUGAGGUGUUUAUAUAUGGUCACUUGAUAUCAUGUGUUAAACAGCUUGGAGAGAGAGGAAGGCUCCCCACGCGUGCGCCGCCGCCGCCGUCCGGUCGGCUUGGCAGGGCUGGGCUGGGCUCGGCUCGGCGUGGGCGUGGGCGUGGGCGUGGGCUUGGGCUUGGGUGGAGGGCCUUUGGCCCGAUAAGAACUAUUCUUUUUGGACCAAGUUAAGCUCAACGUUCUGCCAAUUAAUUCCCGAAAAACGACAUGCAUUUUAUUUUAAACAACACGUAGUUCGUUUAAAAACAACACGCUGUCUCUCUUCUUGACGAUAAGUUUAAACAAGAAAAGAUCUUGCGGAGGAAGUUUCGUAACGCCUCGCCUCCGAGAUCCUCGCGAGAUUUCCGCCAACGUGCGCACGUGCGGCAUCAGUUACGGAAAGUGGCUCGUCUUCUCUUCUUUAUAAACUCGUCUCCUCCUUCAUUUCUCAAAAAGUUUUUACGCAACAAAAAAUCACCAAAUCCCUCAACGUAAGUCUAUAGAGUGUUUCGUAGAGGUUAUAGUUCGAUAGGGCGAUCACGAGUGAGGCGUGAUUCGUCUGCCAUGGUUGUAUCCUGGGACUCUAUAUUCGUACAGUCCUGUCUCACUAACGGAGCGAAUAUUUUGAGUUAAGGAAAGAGAUCAUAUCUCGCCUCCAUGUCUAUUUGCGAAUACGGUUUCUUAUCGUCCUCGUAUUCGUUUUUUUUUUCUAUAUUCAUCUAUUUCCUUAACUUCGCUUUUAUUAUAUCGUUUACAUCGGUCCGGUUUUCCGGCUUUUACAAAACCAACCGUUUGCUUUUUUUCUUCAUUAGUUAUUGACAUAUUUUAGAAUACCCUAGCUCAUAAAACAAUUAUAUUAACUCUCGAUUUCUCCAAAAUCAACGGUAAGGAAGAAGGAAAUGGAGAUAGUCGCAAUACAUUUGUCUAAUAAAUGGAGAUAGUCACAAUACAACAGUAAGGAAAUGAAAAUGGAGAUAGUCACAAUAAAAACAAUACCAUGUAUAUAUAUAUAUAUAGGGGUUGGUGCAUGUCUUAUCUCAAUUUCCAUGAAAAAUAGAAGUUUUGUUGGAUUAGCGCGCUUAGCAAAGUUUAAUACCUCAUUAAACUUAAGAGACCUAGUAACAUAAACAUGCUCUAACAAACACUUCGCUGCUAAAGUUUGUACUAGGUUUAUCUCCAAACCGUCUAUGUCUCCAAUAUUCAUUUACCAAAAAAAAAAACAUUAUAUCAUUAACACCAAAGUAUAUAUACUUUGAUAGUCUUAUUUAUUUUAUUCCAAACAAAAUACGUAUUUACAAAAAACAGUAUGAUAUACAAAUCUCAAAUCACCAGAAAUCUUAUAUUAUAUAAUUUCUGAUGGAGAUUGAAUUUUACAAAUUCCAAAUUACCUUAUCUUCCUGAAAAACUCAAGGAUCGGAGCAUUCUUAUGUUCCUUGUCAAACACUGAUGCCUCAUAUAUCUCUGACCAAUCUUCACUAUUCCUGACCCCGAUUUUAAAGUAGUCUCUUUGUCCCGUAUCCAUUUGCUCCCUUCCCUCGAGGAUUCUAAUGAACACCAGUUUAUUUUUUGAACGCCUGUUAUGCUCAUCGACCGCAAACUUGGCGAUGUUAACGAAGUAAUCACGAUCUAGAUUCCUAAUUCUCUUCCACCGACCCGGUGGCGCCUUUUCUCCUACAACGGAGAUGACAGGGAGGAGGAUGAGACAUAGACAAAUCAAAGCUUUCAACAUCUUUUCUUUGUUCUUGAACCUUUUUCUUUUCUGAUCUUAAAGGUAUCGUUGGUUUUGUAAGUUUUAU
rnacentral:lncRNA from 1 species